rnacentral:rRNA from 1 species
CGUGGGGAAUAUUGGCCAAUGGGGGCAACCCUGAUCCAGCAAUGCCGCGUGUGUGAUGAAGSCCUUAGGGUUGUAAAGCACUUUCACUGGUGAAGAUGAUGACGGUAACCAGAGAAGAAGCCCCGGYUAACUUCGUGCCAGCAGCCGCGGUAAUACGAAGGGGGCGAGCGUUGUUCGGAAUUACUGGGCGUAAAGGGCGCGUAGGCGGUCUUUUAAGUUAGGCGUGAAAGCCCCGGGCUCAACCCGGGAACUGCGCUUAAGACUGGAAGACUAGAAAACGGAAGAGGGUAGUGGAAUUCCCAGUGUAGAGGUGAAAUUCGUAGAUAUUGGGAAGAACACCAGUGGCGAAAGCGGCUACSUGGUCCGAUUUUGACGMUGAGGCGMGAAAGCGUGGGGAGCAAACAGGAUUAGAUACCCUGGUAGUCCACGCCGUAAACGAUGUCUGCUAGAUGUCGGGGGGUUGCCCCUCGGUGUCGCCGCUAACGCAUUAAGCARACCGCCUGGGAAGUACGGUCGCAAGAUUAAAUA